rnacentral:rRNA from 1 species
UACGUAGGCAGCGAGCGUUGUUCGGAGUUACUGGGCGUAAAGGGUGUGUAGGCGGUUCUUUUAAGUUUGGUGUGAAAUCUCCCCGGCUCAACUGGGAGGGUGCGCCGAAUACUGAGGGACUAGAGUGCGGGAGAGGAAAGUGGAAUUCCUGGUGUAGCGGUGAAAUGCGUAGAUAUCAGGAGGAACACCGGUGGUGUAGACGGCUUUCUGGACCGUAACUGACGCUGAGACACGAAAGCGUGGGUAGCAAACAGG